rnacentral:rRNA from 1 species
UGCGCAGGCGGCGGUUCGCGUGGAUAGAUGAAAUCUCCUGGCUUACCUGGGAGGAUGGUAUCCAGACGGGAUCGCUUGAGGGUCGGAGAGGGGCGUGGAAUUCCGGGUGGAGCGGUGAAAUGCGUAGAGAUCCGGAGGAACACCGACGGCGUAGGCAGCGCCCUGGACGACACCUGACGCUGAGGCACGAAAGCUGGGGAGCGAACA